rnacentral:ncRNA from 2 species
UUCGUCCACUAGGGGUGCUUCUGCUGAGAGGGACUUGUCCCGACCCUUGGACCUGAUCUGGGUAAUACCAGCGUAGGAAAGUGGUUAUUGUGACUA